rnacentral:rRNA from 1 species
AUUGAACGCUGGCGGCAGGCUUAACACAUGCAAGUCGAGCGGAGAUGAGGUGCUUGCACCUUAUCUUAGCGGCGGACGGGUGAGUAAUGCUUAGGAAUCUGCCUAUUAGUGGGGGACAACAUUCCGAAAGGAAUGCUAAUACCGCAUACGCCCUACGGGGGAAAGCAGGGGAUCUUCGGACCUUGCGCUAAUAGAUGAGCCUAAGUCGGAUAAGCUAGUUGGUGGGGUAAAGGCCUACCAAGGCGACGAUCUGUAGCGGGUCUGAGAGGAUGAUCCGCCACACUGGGACUGAGACACGGCCCAGACUCCUACGGGAGGCAGCAGUGGGGAAUAUUGGACAAUGGGCGGAAGCCUGAUCCAGCCAUGCCGCGUGUGUGAAGAAGGCCUUUUGGUUGUAAAGCACUUUAAGCGAGGAGGAGGCUACCUGGAUUAAUACUCUAGGAUAGUGGACGUUACUCGCAGAAUAAGCACCGGCUAACUCUGUGCCAGCCGCCGCCGUAA